AUGCCUUCUGAGUGGUUACAAGCACAGUCAAAAGCAGUUCAUUCUGAUUUGAUAAAUGCAUUGAAAGCACCUGAAAUUGUUUCAUCCUCUGUCUUUCUUCCCUUUUCAUCUUUUAGAGCAAUCAAAUGAAAUUUCACCUAGCUUUCCUAAUCGAAGUUGUCUGUCUGCUCUGCCCCGGUACUAAAAAUGCAUGUUUCAAUAAGCGUUCCUAUGUGACGGUAAGUGAUAAUGGCAUCGUAUUGAACUUGGGAACCAGACCCCGCUUUCACCUGCCUGGAACCCUGAGAUGUGUUCUCUCAUUGCACACAGUGUGAGGCUUUCAACCAUCAUUGUGAAGCACAUGACGUCCGGUGAGCUGAUGCCUUCCCUCCCCUCCCAGGCC
rnacentral:lncRNA from 1 species